rnacentral:hammerhead_ribozyme from 1 species
GACGAGUCCCGAAUAGGACGAAACGCGCGUC